UAGCACCAUUUAAAUUCAGCAU
rnacentral:miRNA from 1 species